CCUACGGGGGGCAGCAGUCGAGAAUCAUUCACAAUGGGGGAAACCCUGAUGGUGCGACGCCGCGUGGGGGAAUGAAGGUCUUCGGAUUGUAAACCCCUGUCAUGUGGGAGCAAAUUAAAAAGAUCGUACCACAAGAGGAAGAGACGGCUAACUCUGUGCCAGCAGCCGCGGUAAUACAGAGGUCUCAAGCGUUGUUCGGAAUCACUGGGCGUAAAGCGUGCGUAGGCUGUUUCGUAAGUCGUGUGUGAAAGGCGCGGGCUCAACCCGCGGACGGCACAUGAUACUGCGAGACUAGAGUAAGGGAGGGGGAACCGGAAUUCUCGGUGUAGCAGUGAAAUGCGUAGAUAUCGAGAGGAACACUCGUGGCGAAGGCGGGUUCCUGGACAUUAACUGACGCUGAGGCACGAAGGCCAGGGGAGCGAAAGGGAUUAGAUACCCGUGUAGUC
rnacentral:rRNA from 1 species